rnacentral:miRNA from 1 species
CCUGGAACUCACUCUGUAGACCAGGCUGGGUUCACACUCACAGAGAUCUGCCUGCCUCUGCCUCCUGAGUGCUGGGAU